AAAUUCUGCAUAAAAUAUAAACCGCAUGCACGCGAUCCUGCGCGCGACAGCGACGCGAUCGAGAUUGCGGUCGCGUUCGCUCGUCGCCUACAAGUCGUAUGCGAGCAACGAGACGAGCGACGUCUCCCCGGUGUUGCCGG
rnacentral:lncRNA from 1 species